GGUAACCUGCCUGUAAGACUGGGAUAACUCCGGGAAACCGGAGCUAAUACCGGAUAGUUCCUUGAACCGCAUGGUUCAAGGAUGAAAGACGGUUUCGGCUGUCACUUACAGAUGGACCCGCGGCGCAUUAGCUAGUUGGUGAGGUAACGGCUCACCAAGGCGACGAUGCGUAGCCGACCUGAGAGGGUGAUCGGCCACACUGGGACUGAGACACGGCCCAGACUCCUACGGGAGGCAGCAGUAGGGAAUCUUCCGCAAUGGACGAAAGUCUGACGGAGCAACGCCGCGUGAGUGAUGAAGGUUUUCGGAUCGUAAAGCUCUGUUGUUAGGGAAGAACAAGUGCAAGAGUAACUGCUUGCACCUUGACGGUACCUAACCAGAAAGCCACGGCUAACUACGUGCCAGCAGCCGCGGUAAUACGUAGGUGGCAAGCGUUGUCCGGAAUUAUUGGGCGUAAAGGGCUCGCAAGCGGUUUCUUAAGUCUGAUG
rnacentral:rRNA from 1 species